rnacentral:rRNA from 1 species
AUUGAACGCUGGCGGCAGGCCUAACACAUGCAAGUCGAGCGGAUGAAGGGAGCUUGCGCCUGGAUUCAGCGGCGGACGGGUGAGUAAUGCCUAGGAAUCUGCCUGGUAGUGGGGGAGAACGUCCGGAAACGGGCGCUAAUACCGCAUACGUCCUGAGGGAGAAAGUGGGGGAUGUUCGGACCUCACGCUAGCAGAGGAGCCUAGGUCGGAUUAGCUAGUUGGUGGGGUAAAGGCCUACCAAGGCGACGAUCCGUAACUGGUCUGAGAGGCUGAUCAGUCACACUGGAACUGGGCCGCCGUCCUGGCUCCUACGGGACGCAGCAGUGGGCAAUAUUGGACAGUGGGCGGAAGCCUUAUCCAGCCAUGCCGCGUGUGUUAAGAAGGUCUUCGGAUUGUAAAGCACUUUAAGUUGGGAGGAAGGGCAGUAAGUUAAUACCUUGCUGUUUUGACGUUACCAACAGAAUAAGCACCGGCUAACUUCGUG